rnacentral:piRNA from 1 species
UCAUGGUCACUCUGUCACAAUCCUGUGAU